rnacentral:lncRNA from 1 species
AAGAAGAAGAAGAAGAAGAAGAGAGGAGGAUAGCUGUGGCGAGGCUGCAGCGAGGAGGUGUGUGGCGUUGGGGAGGAAAAAGGAAGAGGAGAAGAAGAGAAGGAGAAGAGAGGGAAGAGGGAGAGGAGCGAGAGGUGGUAGCAGCUAGGGCUGCAGCACCUCUGUUUCCUGCAGGUGGAAACAGAGGAGAGGUGUGGGGCGUUCGAAGAGGAGAAGAAGAAGAAGAGGAAGUAGGAGAAGAGGUUGUGAUACCUCUGUUUCCUGCAGAGGAAACAGAGGAGAGGGUGUGUGUGACGCUGGGGAGGAGGAGGGAAGAAGAAGAGGAGAAGAAGAAGAGAAGGGAAAGGAGGAGCUGCGGCGGUGGAAUCUGCAGCUUGAAGAGAAGGAGAGGAAG